rnacentral:rRNA from 1 species
CGGUGAAGCCCAGCUUGCUGGGUGGAUCAGUGGCGAACGGGUGAGUAACACGUGAGCAACCUGCCCCUGACUCUGGGAUAAGCGCUGGAAACGGCGUCUAAUACUGGAUAUGAGACGUGGCCGCAUGGUCAACGUUUGGAAAGAUUUUUCGGUUGGGGAUGGGCUCGCGGCCUAUCAGCUUGUUGGUGAGGUAAUGGCUCACCAAGGCGUCGACGGGUAGCCGGCCUGAGAGGGUGACCGGCCACACUGGGACUGAGACACGGCCCAGACUCCUACGGGAGGCAGCAGUGGGGAAUAUUGCACAAUGGGCGCAAGCCUGAUGCAGCAACGCCGCGUGAGGGAUGACGGCCUUCGGGUUGUAAACCUCUUUUAGCAGGGAAGAAGCCUUCGGGUGACGGUACUUGCAGAAAAAGCGCCGGCUAACUACGUGCCAGCAGCCGCGGUAAUACGUAGGGCGCAAGCGUUAUCCGGAAUUAUUGGGCGUAAAGAGCUCGUAGGCGGUUUGUCGCGUCUGCUGUGAAAUCCCGAGGCUCAACCUCGGGCCUGCAGUGGGUACGGGCAGACUAGAGUGCGGUAGGGGAGAUUGGAAUUCCUGGUGUAGCGGUGGAAUGCGCAGAUAUCAGGAGGAACACCGAUGGCGAAGGCAGAUCUCUGGGCCGUAACUGACGCUGAGGAGCGAAAGGGUGGGGAGCAAACAGGCUUAGAUACCCUGGUAGUCCACCCCGUAAACGUUGGGAACUAGUUGUGGGGUCCUUUCCACGGAUUCCGUGACGCAGCUAACGCAUUAAGUUCCCCGCCUGGGGAGUAC